UUGGAGGGCAAGUCUGGUGCCAGCAGCCGCGGUAAUUCCAGCUCCAAUAGCGUAUAUUAAAGUUGUUGCAGUUAAAAAGCUCGUAGUUGAAUUUCGGGAUCAAUUUAUUGGUCGUGCCAACGGUACGCACUGGUACAAUUGGUUUCUCCCUUCUGACGAAGCAUGAUGUCAUUAAUUUGAUGUCGUGGGGAAUCAGGACUGUUACUAUGAAAAAAUUAGAGUGUUUAAAGCAGGCUUUGGCUUGAAUACAUUAGCAUGGAAUAAUGAAAUAGGACGUUUGAUCUUAUUUCGUUGGUUUCUAAGAUCGACGUAAUGAUUAAUAGGGAUAGUUGGGGGCAUUAGUAUUCAAUUGUCAGAGGUGAAAUUCUUGGAUUUAUUGAAGACUAACUACUGCGAAAGCAUUUGCCAAGGAUGUUUUCAUUAAUCAAGAACGAAAGUUAGGGGAUCGAAGACGAUCAGAUACCGUCGUAGUCUUAACCAUAAACUAUGCCGACUAGGGAUCGGAUGAUGUUAAUUUUUUAAUGACUCAUUCGGCGCCUUACGGGAAAC
rnacentral:rRNA from 1 species